GGCAGAGAUGAUCAGUCUCUCCCCUGAUAUUUACUUCUUUUGUUUAAAUCUUCGACUACCACAAUGGAUAUCAGGCUAUUCUUGAUAUUUGUGGUAAUGACGUGCGCCCUGAGUCAAGGGCCUGCUGUAUAUCGGGACCUUACGUGCGUGGAGCCGGAGCCUGGAUAUGCCAAAAGAUUGUUUUAUUAUUUCACCGCAAGUGAAAUUGAGAAAAUCUGUCCAACGGUUACCGAUCUGACAUGGCGAAUUGGAAAUGAGGUAUUCUAUAAUCUGCUGUGUGUGCUUCUUACCCUGCUGUUGGGCUAUGCGCCGUUGGUCGGGAAAGUCGUCAAAGAGAAAUGGUCAGCCGCCGUGUUAAUGUUCCGAGAAUGGAGAGCUCGUAAGUAACCAUUCAUAAUGUGAUUAGAUGUUUGUGAUUCAUUGUAAUUUGGCAUAUUGUAUUUUGAACCGCCUUUUCCCCAGUUUCUUUUGAUGAUACAAACAUUCAUUGUCAAAUACUUUUCAAUAGGUUCCAAUGGCACAGUUUUAUUCGCGAAAGUUGUUAACCAUGUUGUCCGAAGUCUAGUAUAAUUAUCGCUGUUCUCACUUUCAUUUCUGUUUACCAUGUAAUUAAGCUCUUUUCUAAAGGUAAUGUACUUUUUCAUGAAUCAACUGUUGUGGUCGGGUGGCGCGGUGGAUAGCGCACUUGCCUUUCACCAAGGCAUUCGGGAUUCGAUUCCCCGAUCGGACGUGAAAAGGUAUGGGGUCAUCUGCUCUCAACCAUAUGGGUUUUGUUCGGGUACUCCGGUUUCCUCCCACAUUACAUGUAAGACCACCCGCGCCAUAUGGACCAACGGGAGUGAUUAAUAUAGGUCUUUCCCUCUGCCGUCACUGCGGUACUGCCCCAUGUCAGAUUAAAAGGAGAUCCUUGUGGAAGCCCUCCGGCACUCGUGAGAAAGACAAGGCGAAUUUCGCAAAACGGUCAAACGCCAUGAUGUUGUUUUACUAUGGACUAGAGUUGUCCGUGGUACUGACCAAAGAGCUGCCAUGGAAUGACCUGUACUUGGAGAGGAAGUUCGUCCAGCAUUUUGAGGAGGAGCAUAUGGCAUUGUUCCCAGUGUGCAUCCAGGGUCAGAUCAACUACUGGUACCCUGUCCCUCGCUAGAUUUGUUGUGCCGUUCAAAGAGGAGAAUGUGGAUGGCAGUCGGUGAUGGAAUAGAAGUUUGAUGAAUGACGUACGAGUCUCGUUUUGAUCGUCUUAGUUUUUUGGGGUCACGAUACGAUCCGAUUGGAAUGGUGUUUGACCAAUGAUACCCAUAGUGUACCUUAUAUUUGUUAUAUUAAAUUGUAACUCUCUGGAUCUUGACCACUAGUGGUCCAAUGAAGAACUGAACCGAUACCUGAUGAAUUUGCCAUUUAAAACUUAGCUAGUGUUGACCAGCAGUGGUCCGAAUUAUAAAUUUCGAUGGUGUUGAAUCGUUUGAUUGGUCAGUUGCUAACAUUUUUCUAUUGACCAUUAUGUGGUUUGAGAAGUUGUGGAGCCGGAAUUUGACCAUGUAGCAUUGGUCAGUUUGAAGUCAGUUCAUCUUGACUGAAAGGAUUUUCAUGAAAAAAGUGUCAUGCGUUUGUUGAAUAAGUACAUGUCAGUUCUAUUAAUGUUGAUAUCGACCUGUAAUGGACCACCUUAGAUGUUUCAAAUAAUUGUGUUCUGGUCAAGCGAUAUUGGUGUUUUAGCGGACAUUUGCCAUAUAUAAUAUAUAGGUCAGUUAAAACCACCAGUGGUUUCGCGCUGAUUGCGGCUAUUUUUUGCGGAAGGUUCUAACUCUCUUGGACCUUUAACGUGUGCUUGGUAUUUUUGCUAAUCAAAAUGAAUUGAUUCUGCAAUGGCCACUUAUGGUCUUAGGUGUUGUCGUGGUCAGUUAUACAUUAAUUCAGUCAAGCUGAUCACCAGGUUCUGUAGAAUUACCAGCAUGAAAAAUUCUGUUCGUUUUGCAUUAGUCAGUUUUGUUCGUUUUGUAUUGGUCAGUUUUGUUCGUUUUGUAUUGGGCAGUUUUGUCCUGGCGAAUUUUA